rnacentral:rRNA from 1 species
AACACGUGGGUAACCUGCCCUAUGCUGGAUAAUAACCUCGGGAAACUGAGAAUAAUGAUCCAUAGUUCACUACGCCUGGAACGGUGAGUGGAUGAAAGCUCCGGCGGCAUAGGAUGGGCCUGCGGCGUAUCAGGUUGUAGGGGGUGUAACGUACCCCCUAGCCCUCUACGCGUACGGGUGUUGGGAGACAUAGCCCGGAGAUGGAUUCUGAGACACGAAUCCAGACCCUACGGGGUGCAGCAGGCGCGAAAACUUGGCAAUGCGAGAAAUCGUGACCAGGGAACUCCAAGUGCAUCGGGUAAGACCGGUGCUUUUCUUGACUCUAAAUAGGUCUUGGAAUAAGGGGUGGGUAAGGACGGUGCCAGCCGCCGCGGUAAUACCGGCGCCUCAAGUGGUAGUCGCUUUUAUUGGGCCUAAAACGUCCGUAGCCGGUCUGAUACAUUCGUGGAUAAAUCAACCAGCUCAACUGGUUGAAUUCUGCGAGGACGGUCAGACUUGGGACCGGGAGAGGUGUGGGGUACGCUCAGGGUAGGGGUAAAAUCCUGUCAUCCUGAGCGGACCACCUGUUGCGAAGGCGCCACACUAGAACGGAUCCGACGGUCAGGGACGAAGCCUAGGGGCACGAACCGGAUUAGAUACCCGGGUAGUCCUAGGUGUAAACGCUGUGGACUUGAUGUUGGGGGUGCUCCGAGCACUCUCAGUGUCGAAGCGAAGGUGAUAAGUCCACUGCCUGGGAAGUACGGUCGCAAGGCUGAAACUUAAAGGAAUUGGCGGGGGAGCACCGCAACCUGAGGAUUGUGCGGUUUAAUUGGAUUCAACGCCGGA